rnacentral:rRNA from 1 species
UACGGAGGGGGCGAGCGUUAUUCGGAAUUAUUGGGCGUAAAGGGCGCGUAGGCGGCUGUACAAGUCAAAGGUGAAAUCCCUCGGCUCAACUGAGGAACUGCCUUUGAAACCGUCUGGCUAGAGUCCGGAAGAGGAGAGUGGAAUUCCCGGUGUAGCGGUGAAAUGCGCAGAUAUCGGGAAGAACACCCGUGGCGAAGGCGGCUCUCUGGGACGGUACUGACGCUGAGACGCGAAAGCGUGGGGAGCGAACAGG